GCAGAAUAUUGUGCAACAUGGUUAUGGGUACUACAGUGGAUGUGAGUGUGUAGACCUUGUACAAUAGAGCUUAUAGGCUAAUGAGAAGACAGGAAGAAACAACAGGAACACAUAUAGCUGGAAUGCAGAUGGGAUCUGUGCUACUUACGCUAGCCAUGGGAUGAUUAGAACAAGAUAAGAGACAUGAGGAAGACUUCUUCAAGGAGGUGCUCAAGCCAUGUUUUGGAAAAGAGAACUCAAGGUCUGGCAGGGAGAAAGGAGCAAGGGCAAGUAGAGCUGCGGCUGUCUGGCGCCACUGUAAUGCUGUCUCCUCCUCUGAGUUCAUCCUGGAAACAUUUUCUCCCAUAAGACAUGCACAGGUCUUACGUUUACAUGUUUCACUGAAAGAAAUUUGAUUCCACUGAUGGGAUGACAAGGAAGACUGAAGAAACCUAAUCCUAGGUGCUGCCAUUGGGACAAACAAGAAGCACCAGACACAGUGCUGUUUUAGGGUGGGGCAGAAUUAUGCUGAGGGAAAAGUUAUUAUCACUCUUUAAGGCCAAGGAAACCACAAUUUUUAAAGAAGCUUCUAGAAAUUCUACCCAAUAGAAAAUAAAGAUAAACUUCUGUAAGGAAUUUCAUUCUUUUCAGAAUUCGCAAUCUGAAAUGUAGAAGCCCAUUCCUUCAUGGUUCUCAUAGAUAUUUAGUGUGACUGAGGGGUCAGUGGACUCAUAGCAUUCAGGCCAGGCUUCUCCUGAGUCCCUUUCUUUGGCACAGAGGGAGUGAUUCACAGAUCCUCUACCCCCAAAGGCAUUGUUUCCUCAUCUCAACAAGAAUCCAGCACCCGUCAUUUUAUCAGCACACGUCACUAGCUUCUCAAGUGAGACUACUCUGAAGUGAUCUCUGUUUGAAGAAUGCCUUUCCCUUUCCCUUCCGUAACUAAGAGGAUGAAAAAGGACACUCACUCCCUAUAUGAAAGCUGUGUAUUGUAAGCAGUCAUCUUGCCUGGCUGAGAACUCCAGGAUCUUUUUCUCUGCUCUCCUUUAGGCUGACACUCAUAGCCAGCCCUUCUGUUUAUUAGCCCCCUGAAUCUAUUUGAAAAUAUUUUUGCUUUCGUUAUAAUAUAAGUCACAUUCUUCUUGCAUCUGCCGCUGCAUUUUCCAAAAGGGUUAUGUCAAGGGAAAUUCAACACUCACUUUUCUCAUUAUUUGCUUACCAGCUUGCUCACUCAUCAAAAUACCAGAGUUAUUUGAUACUUCAGAAGAUUAUUUCCCCCCUUAGAUGACGUGUCAAGGGAAGGGGAGCUGGCCCCAGUGUCAGGUGACAGAAUUCUCUUCGCAUUUCUACUGUUGACUCAAUAAAUGCCCUUGGGCAAGUCAUGGAGCCUCUUCAUGCUUUGGUCUCUAGGGAUAAAAUCUGCCAACCGCAGCGUGUGUAUUUGAACCUCAGUGCCCUCUGGAAUAAAAAUAGGAGGGGACCAGGUGUCCAUGUGACCCCAAGCUGAUGGGAAGAGGAUGACCAUAGGACUUCAAAAUGUCCUUGAGCUGUAAAUUCUGUAAUAGGGUCAGGCCCACCAGUGGCCUUCAGGCAUUUGUCCAGUGGUGUAUGGAUAAGUUCUAGCACUUGAGUUUUUUCAGCAGAAAGGAGGCACUAUGUCAACCUCCCACCCAUGGGUAUUCUGUUUGCUCUGUGUCCCCGCUUCUCUGCAUUUCCCUGCCAUAUUACUCACCACUGGUCGUAAUUACUUGCUUGAUCACUUGUCUCCUGGUCUGUAAGCUGUUUGAGGGAGGGGAGCACAUCUGCCCUAUGCAACACUGUACCCUCAGUGUGGUACACAGGAGCACAUGCCUGACAUAUAGAAGUUAUGUGAGAAACAUUUGCCAAGUGGACAAAUGAAUAAUGCUGCCUGGACUCUAUAGAAAUCCCUUUUCUGCAUCAUUAAGGUUCCCAAGCCUGGCCAAGAAGCAGUGGGAUCUGAUUAGCCUCAUCUCCUCAUAACCCUACUUCCUAUCAUAUUAUAAUGAAAGCAGAUCUCAGCCCAAAUGCUGGCACACGUACAUAUUUAUCAGUAAGAAGAUCCAAAAUCGUUCAUGCAGCUGGUUCUGUAAGCUUGGCAAAUUUCCAGCCCUCUGACCUUUUCAGUGCUUUGUCCACACUCUACAUGAAAGGGCCUCUUAAGAGUGACAGGGCAGUAUUCUAAAGACCAGAUUUUAAUUGCACCAGGUAACUGAAUUGUCUGAAUUCACAGCUGAACACAGGACAAGGUCAGAAUCAUAUUUCUUAUGCCAUUUAGAAAGGUGACAAGUGAAGGGCUGGCCAAAAUCUUACACCCAGCUUACGUAAGAGUAGAGACUGUCCCUAAUGCUUUCCCCAGUCCACUUGUCUCGAACACCAUUAGGUUCAAUAGUAAAAGCCCAUUUCUCACUUCCUUCAUGUUAAUUAACUGAUCACUAAUUUUACCAAUGAGAAGCCAUUUUUAUUAUUUAUCAUUAUGAUUUUUAUCAUUUUGUUAAUUAGCCAAGCUUCUGCUGUUGACUCCAGAUAAAGAGAGUUAAAGCACUUGGGGUGACCACCUAAGUAGAUUUUUUCAUGGUGAACAAAUGGAAGCAACAGAAGCAGCUCAGACUUUUGAAAAGUGAUGAAAAAGGCCCAUGAUGCCCUGCUCCAUGAAAAUGAAGAAGAGGAUGACUUAGCCCUGCAGGGUUCUUUUCUUUGCAUGUUCUUACCAACCCUCAGGGGAGAUUCAGUCUACUAGCUGGCUUCCCCACGUGGACCUCACUCUGUGGCAAGUAACUGGGAGUAAUUUACCUUCUGGGUUCUCUUACAACCCCCUUAGCUAUGUAGGUGAUUUCAGGCCCAAGGGGGAAGAUAUCAGAUGAGCCAGAACAUUUUGAUUCUACUGACCGAGUUUCCUCACCUCCCUCCCUUUGUUUCUGAUAAAUACAUACGUUAAGGUCAGCUGAAGAGUUGUCUGUGAUAAUUGCCCUGAAUCCUCACUCACUCCUCUGAAUUUCUGUCUUCUGUAGCCUCUUAGCCAUGUUGCAGGUGAAGGUCUCAAGUCAUUUGCACCACUAGGAAUCGUUUGUGUUAUUGUGACUGAUAUGUGUCCUCAGAGUUGUAUCAGUGUUUUCCCCUACACACACAUGCACAUACACGCACCACACAAUAUGCACAUUCUAUAAGACGGAGCCUCUAUUUUUGGUGUCUGCUUAGCCCACCAGUUUCCCACUGGGAUUAGUUGUUUUCUCUGAGCUUCAGACAACUUGGAGAUCCUGCCUAACUUUGGUUGCUCUUCCUUGUCAGACUGGAACUUACCCUCAGUAUGGUACAACCAAUCACUGGCUCUCAGGGAGCUCAUCACCCUGAACUAUGCCUGACAGGACAGGAGCACCAUCAUCUGGGACAAACACUGCCACUUUAAGUUCCAGCUCCCUUUUUAGCCUCAUGCAUUUCAAGAAAAUCACUUGUCUUCUCAUUACAAGCAGCCAGAAAGAGCAGACAGUAAAAUACAGAUAAGACGGGCACAGAGGGAAGUGGGAGGAAAGUCUCUUGGGUAACUGCCAAACUUCACCCUCAUACAAUGGGCCCCAGUAAAACAGUGGGCCUUAAUAAGCACAUUCCUUUCCUUUCAGGUGCACUAAGAUAGGGAGGCUAAAGGCGGACUGGGGGGAUAUGCCUGCAGCUACAGAAAGAUGUAUGGGAACAGACACACAACUCUCCCUCCCAGAUAAGCACAACAAAGAGACACAGAAGCAGUCCAAGCCUCUGACAAACUCUCCCACCCUGAAUCUUUAAAAACUCUUAGUCUGCAAGAGAGUGCGGCUUCUGACCUAACUUGAUCAGAAGUCCCUCCCAGGUUUAAAAUAAACCUGUUAACUGUUGAGCCACCCUUCGUGUUUCUCUCCUCUUUCUUUAAUUCUUACAAUGCCUUCCUGAUGGCUGACUGCCAGGAAACACCUUGGAUACAAUACUCAGCCUGAAGCUGCUUACUCCCCUGGGUGUUGCCCUCCUGGCUACCCAUGGAAGAGCAAGCCCUGUUGACAAGAGCUUCCCCCAGCUCUAAUCCUACCUGGUUAUGGUUUAUUUUCUUUCCCCACCACCUGGGCAGUUAUGUUGGCCCAAGGAAUUUGACUCAUAGUAUUAUCAUAGCAUAGAGCUAAUUUAUAUGUAUUUAUUUCCAUGGUAAACAAGUUAUUCCCAUUGUCUGUCAUUCCCACUAAGCCUGCUAGGGACAGCCCAAAGGAGCAGCUCUAAGUGAGGAUACUUUGCCCUGUAUGACCCUGUCCCUACAGCAGA
rnacentral:lncRNA from 1 species